rnacentral:piRNA from 1 species
UGACGAAGAGUAGGCCAGUUCCAGA